UACGUAGGGAGCAAGCGUUGUCCGGAAUCAUUGGGCGUAAAGCGCGCGUAGGCGGCCCUGUAAGUCCGCUGUGAAAGUCAAAGGCUCAACCUUUGAAUGCCGGUGGAUACUGCAGGGCUAGAGUCCGGAAGAGGCAAGUGGAAUUCCUGGUGUAGCGGUGGAAUGCGCAGAUAUCAGGAGGAACACCAACGGCGAAGGCAGCUGGCUGGGACGGUACUGACGCUGAGACGCGAAAGCGUGGGGAGCGAACAGG
rnacentral:rRNA from 1 species